CUUACUCUAACUCUUGCCCUAGACUUAUUGCUAGUACUAACUCUAUCUGUAACCAUAACCCUCACACUAGCUCUAACCUAACCUCUAAAUCUAGCCCAAGUCCUAACCCUGGAUCUAACCAUAACUCUCUAUAUAACCCUAAACCUAAGCCUGAACCUCACCCUACCACUAGCCCUAACACUAUUACUAAUCCUAAAACUAGUUCUAAACUUAGCUGUAGCUCUAAAACAAAACUGAGCCCUAGCCCUAACCCUAACACUAACCUAACUGUAACUUCAGACCUGACAUUAGAUCUAGCCCAAAUUCUUGCCCUAACCCUAACAAAAAACCUAACCCUACACCUACCCAUAACUCUAGCAUUAUUUCUAGUGUUAUCCCUUACCCUAAAACUAACACUGACCUUGACUCUGACCCUAACACUAACCCUAUUUCAAAUCAUCACUCUAAUCAUAACCUAACCAUAACACUAGACCUAGCCCUAAACCUAACCCUAAAACUAGCCCAAAUCGUAACCCAAGUUCUUAUAUUAGCCAUAGCCCUACCCUAACCCUAACCUAAUUUAAAAUGUAGUCCUAACCCUAACCCUAACACCAGCUUUAAACCUAACCUAAAUCUAAACCUAAUCCUAACACUAGCCUUAAUCCUAACUAUAACCCUAGCCCUAAAUCUAGCUCUAAUCAUAUCUAUUACCUUAAACUUAAACCUAACUCUAAUACUAAUCCUAGGAUAACCCUAACUGUAAUCAUAACCCUAACCCUAUUCAUUACUAUAAACUUAACCUGAAC
rnacentral:lncRNA from 1 species